UCUCCGCUGGCCUAACGGCAGGGCGCGCGGUUCUGGUCCGCGAGGUCGAGGUUCGAGUCCUCGGUGGAGAG
rnacentral:tRNA from 1 species